rnacentral:misc_RNA from 1 species
UCUCGGCUUAUCACCGGCAGUCCCCCUAGAGUGCCCAACCAAAUGAUGGCAACUAGGGGCGAGGGUUGCGCUCGUUGCGGGACUUAACCCAACAUCACACGACACGAGCUGACGACAGCCAUGCACCACCUGUGCGAGGCCCCGUAGGACACCACAUCUCUGUGGCUUUUCCCCGCAUGUCAAACCCAGGUAAGGUUCUUCGCGUUACGUCGAAUUAAACCACAUGCUCCACUGCUUGUGCGGGCCCCCGUCAAUUCCUUUGAGUUUUAGCCUUGCGGCCGUACUCCCCAGGCGGGGCACUUAAUGCGUUAGCGGCGGCACGGGAGGAGUCGACACCUCCCACACCUAGUGCCCAUCGUUUACGGCGUGGACUAC